UAAUAUUAGGCUCUUUUCGCCGAGGGAUCGGGUUAAGGGUAGGCUAAGAAAGUCGCAUGACAAUUAAUUAAUCAAACUAAUAUUCAAGAGGAGUAGAUAAGAGAGGGCGAAUAAGAUGAAAUUGUAAACCUCCAACAACAUCCAUUCAUCCAUUGUUUUCGUUUGUCAAUUGAAUCAAUUUUAUUUUGCAUGUUAAUAUUUUUGUUCUCAAAUCCAAUUUGUUAAUUUUUAUUUUCAAGUCUUAUUAUUUUAAUUCAUGUGAACGAGAAAGCCUUUUGAGUCUCUUGGGAAAACGAUACUUGGUCUUACCAUUU
rnacentral:lncRNA from 1 species